GCCGGGAUGGCGGAAUGGUAGACGCAACGGACUUAAAAUCCGUUGGCCGUAGGGCCGUGCGGGUUCGAGUCCCGCUCCCGGUA
rnacentral:tRNA from 3 species